GGGGCUGAUUCUGGAUUCGACAAGAUUCACGAAACCCAAGGUGCAUGCCGAGGUGCGGUAGGCCUCGUUAAUAAACCGCAAAAAAAUAGUCGCAAACGACGAAAACUACGCACUAGCAGCUUAAUAACCUGCAUAGAGCCCUUCUACCCUAGCUUGCCUGUGUCCUAGGGAAUCGGAAGGUCAUCCUUCACAGGAUCGUGUGGAAGUCCUGCUCGGGGCGGAAGCAUUAAAACCAAUCGAGCUAGUCAAUUCGUGGCGUGUCUCUCCGCAGCGGGUUGGCGAAUGUAAAGAGUGACUAAGCAUGUA
rnacentral:tmRNA from 1 species